CCGCCUACGGGAGGCAGCAGUGGGGAAUAUUGCACAAUGGGGGAAACCCUGAUGCAGCGACGCCGCGUGAGUGAAGAAGUAUUUCGGUAUGUAAAGCUCUAUCAGCAGGAACGAGACAAGACGGUACCUGACUAAGAAGCCCCGGCUAACUACGUGCCAGCAGCCGCGGUAAUACGUAGGGGGCAAGCGUUAUCCGGAUUUACUGGGUGUAAAGGGAGCGUAGACGGCUGGCCAAGUCUGAAGUGAAAGCCCGGGGCUUAACACCGGAACGGCUUUGGAAACUGGCCGGCUG
rnacentral:rRNA from 1 species